AUCUAUCUAUCUAUAUACCAUCCCCCACCCCGUUGCAAUGAAAGGGAGAACAAACAUGCAGAUAAGACUGUCCAGCUUGACUUGCAAAAUUAGAAAAGUGAGAACAAAAACAUAUCUAUCCGUAACUCACAAAUCCAUCGUUUUUCUAUUGUAUAGUACAUAACUACAUAACUACACACAGCACAGUCACGCCGCGGCGACAAACCCCCCCCCCCACACUUCAUAUCCUAACACCACAGGCAUCCAUGCAUACCAGUACAGAAAGUAGGAGAAGGUAGAAGAAGAAGAAGAAGAAGAAGAAGAAGAAGAAGAAGAAGAAGAAGAAGAAACAAACAGCCCUCACCUCAACAAACCAACCCGCGAUGCGAUGCGAUGCAAGCCAAGCCCGAAUGGAAAACCCCCGCGCAAAAAGCAAAAACGAUCUUGUACAGAAUAGCGGAUAGCGGAUAGCGGAUAGCGGAUAGUGGAUAGCGGAAGAUGCAUCUCGCUAAAUACAAUAGAAUAUAAUACAAUAUAAGAUAACAGAAUAUAAUAUAAUAUAACAUGAGUAAGUAUAACUAGUAUAGGAGACGUGAGGGACAUGUAAGGAAUCACCCAACCCCAUCCAUCUAUGCCGUUCUAAGGGGUAUCUUGUUGUUGUUGUUGUUUUUCAUGGCAACUUCAGUAAAAAUGAUUCGUGUCCUUCAUCUCCGUGUAUAUGUGUGUGUGCGUCCUUUUCUUCCCUGGAAGCCGAAAAGGAAAGAGAAGAUGGAAUGGUAGGGGAAUAUAUAUAUAUAUAUAUAUAUUUAUAUGAUUUAGCUACUCCACGGUGAGAAUUUCGAUCGAGGAGGAAGGGGGAGGAGAGGGAAAAGGGAAAGGAGACAGGAAUGCAUUGUAUGUAUGUAUGUACGUAUGUAUGAACUGUACUUUGGCGUUGUAUGGAUGCUAUAUCAACAAGGAAAUGGCAGGGGAAGAAAAAAAGAGAGAUAGAAAAGGGUAUGUAAAUGAAGAAUUAGUUAAGGGUUAGAAACAAGGAAGAUGGAAAGAAAGAAAGAAAGAGGAGGAGAAGAGGCGCCCCGAAAACGAGUUCAAAAAAAAAAAACGAAGAAGAGAAAAAUGGGAAAUGAGG
rnacentral:sRNA from 2 species